ACUUACCUCAAGGGUGGCGACGAGCCAGUGUUCGGGCCAGGCUGGUGCUGCGCAUACCGCGCUGGCACUGGUCACGGGGCAGUGCUCUCAGACCUGCUACCGUACCCUUUUAAUUUUUCCU
rnacentral:snRNA from 16 species